AGCGAACGCUGGCGGCAGGCCUAACACAUGCAAGUCGAACGAACUCUUCGGAGUUAGUGGCGGACGGGUGAGUAACACGUGGGAACGUGCCUUUUGGUUCGGAAUAACUCAGGGAAACUUGUGCUAAUAUCGAAUGCGCCCUUCGGGGGAAAGAUUUGUCGCCAUUGGGGCGGCACGCGUCUGAUUAGCUAGGUGGUGAGGUAACGGCUCACCAAGGCGACGAUCAGUAGCUGGUCUGAGAGGAUGACCAGCCACACUGGGACUGGGACACGGCCCAGACUCCUACGGGAGGCAGCAGUGGGGAAUCUAGCGCAAUGGGCGGAAGGCUGACGCAGCCAUGCCGCGUGAAUGAUGAAGGUCUUAGGAUUGUAAAAUUCUUUCACCGGGGACGAUAAUGACGGUACCCGAAGAAGAAGCCCCGGCUAACUUCGUG
rnacentral:rRNA from 1 species